UUGCUUUAAUCUGGCAAAAGCAUUUAACUACAAGCUUUACCUUCGAUAUGAAAUUUUCUAGAGAGAAUCGGUGGGAAACUUAUUUAUAUGACUUAGUUCGAAAUUAAAAGCUUAGAUAGAACUGGGUUCAACUAAUGGAGAUAUGAGUAGGAUACAAGUAUUAACAAGUAUAUGACUACCAAUAAAGAAUACCGAUCAAAAAAAGUACAUAGUUUAUAUUUUGGCAUAUAAAACACUAACUUCUUAUAGGUAAAUAUGGCUGGACCUAGCCGUCGGAGACGAGUCUCUCAGUCAGAUCAUACUCCCAUACCCAAUCUGACAGUCACAUUUGCCAACAUUUUCUCAGUCAGAACCUACCCCCAUGUCCACAUUGUCACCCACAUCCUUGCCUACACAUUCUCAGUUAGUGCUUUUUAUGUAUUUUGGUUUUGGUUAGGCACAGUAAAGUAAUUUGUUAUCAUUAAUCAUUGGAAAUGAUUUUAUUUUUCUUCUGAACAACAAAUUUACUUUUGACUUUUUUAGUAUGCAUGCAUGACAUUGGCCAAUAUAAAAUUGAGUGCUUUUUUUUUCAAUAAAUUUAAUUUGACGGUGCUUAUUUAGCUUGUGUUAGGGAAAUGGAUUUUGAUAGGGGUAGGAUUCAAAAUAAUGAUAGGAAUUCGAUAGAGUACAUGCAAGGAGUAAAAAACUUUAUGGAAGUGGCUAGUAAACAUGUAGAUUCACUCAACCGGACUCGUUGUCCAUGUUACAAUUGUAACAACAUCUUGUUGCAACAAUUAGCAGUUGUUAAAGACCACCUUCCCUGAUGGGUAUGCAUCAAACAUUUCUCGAUGUGUUAAUAUCAAAGAUUGCAAGCUAUCGGGAAUGAAAAGUCAUGAUUGUCAUAUUCUUUUGCAACAUUUACUUCCGAUAGCAAUACAUGGGUACCUUCGCAAGGAUGUAUGUACCGCACUGACUGAACUUAGUUUUUUUUUCAAAAAAUUGUGUUCAAGGACAUUGCAGUUGGAUGAGUUGGAGCAAAUGGAAAAGGACAUUGUCAUUAUAUUAUGUAAACUGGAAUAGAUAUUUCCCCCAGCCUAUUUUUGACGUAACGGUCCACUUAGCAAUUCACCUUCCUCUUGAGGCCAUCCUUGCCGGACCAGUGCAAUAUUGAUGGAUGUAUCCAAUAGAAAGGUUCUUACAUUCUUUAAAGACAACGGUUCGAAAUAAAGCCAAACCAGAGGGAUAAAUUGCUGAGGCAUAUAUUGACAAAGAAUGCCUAACUUUUUGUUCAAUGUAUCUCAAAGGGGUUGAGACAGUGUUUAAUCGAGAUGAACGGAAUUACGAUGGCAAUCGAGGAAAUAAAGGUUUCUCAUUGAUUGCAAUCUAGCUCCCCUUUUGGAUUCAGAUUUCUUUUGAAAUUUUGAUAUGUGUAUGCGAUUAGCAUUGUGUAAUAUUGGAUUUAUAUAUUAGGAUUUUGAUAUGUGUUGGAAUUAUCAUUUUAGAUGAUUUGUAUAUUUUAAUAUCUAAAUUCUUAGUGGAAUAUGUGUUUUAUCUUC